GACGUAGGGUCCAAGCGUUGUCCGGAUUUACUGGGCGUAAAGAGCGCGUAGGCGGUCUGUUAAGUGUAGAGUGAAAUCUCCAGGGCUCAACCCGGAAACUGCUCUGCAUACUGGCAGACUGGAGUGAUGCAGAGGUUUGUGGAAUUCCUGGUGUAACGGUGAAAUGUGUUGAUAUCAGGAGGAACACCAAUGGCGAAGGCAGCACUCUGGGACGUGACUGACGCUGAGACGCGAAAGCGUGGGGAGCAAACAGG
rnacentral:rRNA from 1 species